UACGGAGGGUGCAAGCGUUAUCCGGAUUCACUGGGUUUAAAGGGUGCGUAGGUGGGCAGGUAAGUCAGUGGUGAAAUCUCCGGGCUUAACCCGGAAACUGCCGUUGAUACUAUUUGUCUUGAAUAUUGUGGAGGUAAGCGGAAUAUGUCGUGUAGCGGUGAAAUGCUUAGAUAUGACAUAGAACACCAAUUGCGAAGGCAGCUUACUACACAAUGAUUGACACUGAGGCACGAAAGCGUGGGGAUCAAACAGG
rnacentral:rRNA from 1 species